GGAUCCAGACUUUGAUUCUGGCUCUGGAUGAACGCUAGCUACAGGCUUAACACAUGCAAGUCGAGGGGAAACGAUAUUGGAAGCUUGCUUCCGAUAGGCGUCGACCGGCGCACGGGUGAGUAACGCGUAUCCAACCUGCCCAUCACUUGGGGAUAACCUUGCGAAAGUAAGACUAAUACCCAAUGAUAUCUCUAGAAGACAUCUGAAGGAGAUUAAAGAUUCAUCGGUGAUGGAUGGGGAUGCGUCUGAUUAGCUUGUUGGCGGGGUAACGGCCCACCAAGGCGACGAUCAGUAGGGGUUCUGAGAGGAAGGUCCCCCACAUUGGAACUGAGACACGGUCCAAACUCCUACGGGAGGCAGCAGUGAGGAAUAUUGGUCAAUGGGCGAGAGCCUGAACCAGCCAAGUAGCGUGCAGGAUGACGGCCCUAUGGGUUGUAAACUGCUUUUAUAAGGGAAUAAAGUGAGCCUCGUGAGGCUUUUUGCAUGUACCUUAUGAAUAAGGACCGGCUAAUUCCGUGCCAGCAGCCGCGGUAAUACGGAAGGUCCGGGCGUUAUCCGGAUUUAUUGGGUUUAAAGGGAGCGUAGGCCGGAGAUUAAGCGUGUUGUGAAAUGUAGAUGCUCAACAUCUGCACUGCAGCGCGAACUGGUUUCCUUGAGUACGCACAAAGUGGGCGGAAUUCGUGGUGUAGCGGUGAAAUGCUUAGAUAUCACGAAGAACUCCGAUUGCGAAGGCAGCUCACUGGAGCGCAACUGACGCUGAAGCUCGAAAGUGCGGGUAUCGAACAGGAUUAGAUACCCUGGUAGUCCGCACGGUAAACGAUGGAUGCCCGCUGUUGGUCUGAAUAGGUCAGCGGCCAAGCGAAAGCAUUAAGCAUCCCACCUGGGGAGUACGCCGGCAACGGUGCAACUCAAAUGAAUUGACGG
rnacentral:rRNA from 1 species